AACAGGAACUGAGCCAUAGUGGCCCGGUUGCGC
rnacentral:sRNA from 1 species